rnacentral:rRNA from 1 species
UCUACCGCCAUACCACCCUGAACGCGCCCGAUCUUGUCUGAUCUUGGAAGCUAAGCAGGGUCGGGCCUGGUUAGUACUUGGAUGGGAGAAUACAUUUUCAUCUUGUGUCUAAGCAUAGGAUAGAA